AUUGAACGCUGGCGGAAUGCUUUACACAUGCAAGUCGAACGGCAGCACGGACUUCGGGCUGGUGGCGAGUGGCGAACGGGUGAGUAAUACAUCGGAACGUGCCCAAUCGUGGGGGAUAACGUAGCGAAAGCUACGCUAAUACCGCAUACGAUCUAAGGAUGAAAGCGGGGGAUCGCAAGACCUCGCGCGAAUGGAGCGGCCGAUGGCAGAUUAGGUAGUUGGUAGGGUACAGGCCUACCAAGCCGACGAUCUGUAGCUGGUCGGAGAGGAUGAUCAGCCACACUGGGACUGAGACACGGCCCAGACUCCUACGGGAGGCAGCAGUGGGGAAUUUUGGACAAUGGACGCAAGUCUGAUCCAGCCAUUCCGCGUGCAGGAUGAAGGCCCUCGGGUUGUAAACUGCUUUUGUACAGAACGAAAAGGCUCUGGUUAAUACCUGGGGCUCAUGACGGUACUGUAAGAAUAAGCACCGGCUAACUACGUGCCAGCCGCCGCGGUAAAAC
rnacentral:rRNA from 1 species